rnacentral:lncRNA from 1 species
CUUUUGUUUUUUUUUCUGGACUCCCAAGUUAAUCUGUAGUUAUUGAAAAUUUCUACCUCCCUUGAAGCCUUCUACUAUAUGGGUUACCGGAGUUAAAAGAUAGAGCCAUGCCGAGUUUAAACUAUCAGUUUUACAUCUUGUGCAGCAUAUAGCCUAAGUAGGUUCCUAUCUAUACCUAUUAGACUUUGGGGUGAUUUUACUGGAUAUACAUUCAACCCAAAACCUGACUUGAUUUUGUUUUGUUCUUUGUGUCACCCCUUCCCCCACUGGAAUACAGGACGGGACCAGGGCCCUUGUACUCGGAACCAGACUGCACUCCAGGCAUUGUGUAAGCCUCUUGUGUUCUGCUUUCUUUCAGGUAGGAUAAUUGCGGACUGAACCCUCGGGCUGCGGUCAUAUAUGAGAACUUGGUCCUCGCGGUCCCCUUUGCCAGGAUGUUCCCAUUGCUUCAUGUUUCAGUAAACAAAGGAAUUUGUGACCAACUAUGUUUUCUUUCUUAAUUUAAUUCUUCUAAGUUGACUUUCCUUUCCUCGAUGCUAGUUGUCUGUAGCUUUUCACUCUGUUCCUUAUAUUCUCAGCCUCUGAACAGCCCUAGGUAAGGAUUAUGCUGGCAUCCCCCCUUUUCCUGUACAGUGGAAGCCCCUCUUAAUCUUACUUUCCUUAGGAGUUGAGCCCUUCUCCCUGCCUUCCUGCAGCAUCUUCUUUCCCUUUAAAAUGACCAUGUAGUGGCAAGCAGCCUUUAACUCUUCUGUUAGUUCUGGACUCUUUAACAUUGAAGCUAGUCUUCUGAAGUUGCUAGGACCAUUGGGAUUUUGUUCUUGUUUUGGUUUGAUUUUGUUUUGUUUUCGGUUUUGUCUGACCUGUGAUCGUGGUACAGCAUUUGCUGAAAUUUAGCCUUGUUUUAUUCCACUCCCCCAUAUUUUUUUUGAAAAAAAAAAAAUAAAUGUUUCUAACACUUAAUCUUUUCUUAACUGAGUGACCAUUAUUUACCACUACUGUCUUCUGAUUCUUAACUAGUUGUGCCUGAGCUACAAAAUUCACAUGUGUGAACGCCUGAAGUGUACAAGGAAAAACUGAGCACAGCAAUAUGGUUUCAGAGGUUAGCUAGAAUCUUGAAACACUGGAUGCUUAGGCAUAUCUGGUCAAGCUCAUUUCUCCAAAAUAGAGCUAUUCUACAACUGAAAGGUUAACCCACCCAGAGAGCCAAGGUACUAGUGAUAGAAGCCCUAUAGAAAAUCCUGUAUCAUAAAAAGGCUCGAAGAGUAGCUCCAAACUCCUGUCAAGUGGACUUAAUUUUAGCAACAUAGCAUUCUGAACCAGUGUAAUGAGUGAACUAAGGAGAUAGAGAGGUGGGCUCAGUGAGCAACCAGAGGACCCAGUUCAGUUCCCCAAUCCCCACGAUAACUUAGAACCAUCUAUAGAACUCCAGUUCCAAGAGAUCUGAUGCCCUCUUCUGACUUAAUCAG